GGUCAAGGAUGCUCUGCAUGUAUUAUCUGACAUGAAAGCUGAUGUGGAGAACACUGGCUCUGGGAUUACACUGAGACCUU
ensembl:snoRNA